CCUUCUUGCUGCAAGGCAACAGCGCUACCCACUGCGCCACUGUGCAGCCCCUUAAAUAGUAAUAAUCAGAUAAAUUUCCUUUUUGUGUAAGUUACAACAGGAGCCACACAAAAAGACCAGAAGUGUGGAGGUGGUGCUGGCAAGAUUGAAUCUUACAAACUAAGAUCUCAGAAGAUGUAGAGAUCCAGUUACUGAUACAAGUUUGAAGAUUUCUUAAGAGCUCUCUGCCAGUCCUGCCAUCUUUCCUCCACAGGUGUUCAUGGUUGACUGGUGAGCGGAGACGCACACCUGCGACUCAUCCAGCAGCACCCGAGUGGCCUACAAGAACAGCGCUCGAACAGCGAGAGGACGCCAGAGUGUUUUUGUUGCGGUUACCUUCUUGGGCUCGAAGGUUCCCUUCUUGACUCUCCAGUUCCUCCGUCCUCCUUCCGAGUCGAAACCUCACCUCUGGAUCCAAGACUCUCUCCAACAUCCUCCGGUUCCUCUCGCUGUUCUGGAUCUCGGUACCCACGGUGCUGCUCGGAUCUCCUCGCCCCGCUCACCAGCAACUCGGAAAUCUGCCAUCAACAACAGAGCUGAGUCCACACACACCAUCCUCCCCGGCCGUGUUCUCUCGCACCUUGUGAUCGAUCCGGUUCCCUGGUCCCGAGCCCGUCCGAGCCGUCUCCUCCUUCCGCAGAUUAGUUCUGCCGUCUUGUUACCCGUCUGAGUCAAUAAACCCUUUAACUUCUACCUGUGUAACCGAGUGUGUUUCUGCAUGUGGGCCCGACACCUUAAGGCUAACAUGACAAGUAGUAGUAUCAGUU